UACGUAGGUGGCAAGCGUUGUCCGGAUUUACUGGGCGUAAAGAGCGCGCAGGCGGUCGUUCAAGUCGCGUGUGAAAGCCCCCGGCUCAACUGGGGAGGGUCACGCGAUACUGAUCGACUCGAAGGCAGGAGAGGGUAGUGGAAUUCCCGGUGUAGUGGUGAAAUGCGUAGAUAUUAGGAAGAACACCAGUGGCGAAGGCGACUUCCUGGCCUGUUCUUGACGCUGAGGCGCGAAAGCUAGGGUAGCAAACGGG
rnacentral:rRNA from 1 species